rnacentral:ncRNA from 1 species
GAAAGCCGUAUGCGGGAAAACCGCACGUACGGUUUGAUGAGGGGAGGGUGAAAAUUCACCCUCCUACUCUGU